AUUGAACGCUGGCGGCAGGCCUAACACAUGCAAGUCGAGCGGUUGAAGUGUUCUUGCUCCUGGAUUCAGCGGCGGACGGGUAAGUAAUGCCUAGGAUUCUGCCUGCUAUUGGGUGAUUACGUCCGGAAACGGGCGCUAAUACCUCUUACGUCCUGCGGGCGAAAGUGGUGGUUCUUCGGACUUCCCGCUAUCAGAUGACCCUAGGUCGGAUUAGCUAGUUGGUGGGGUAAAGGCCUACCAAGGCGACGAUCCGUAACUGGUCUGAGAGGAUGAUAAGUCACACGGGAACGGGAACACGGACAAGACGACUGAGGGAGGCAGCAGAGGGGAAUGUGAGACAGUAGGGGAAAGCAUGGUGCAGCCAUGGCGCGUGUGUGAAGAAGGUGUUGGGAGUGUAAAGAACGUUAUGGUGGGAGGAAGGGCAGUAAGUUAAUACCUAGCUGAAGUGACGGUACCAGCAGAAGAAGCACCGGCUAACUUCGUG
rnacentral:rRNA from 1 species